GAAAUCGACUAGGAAAAUGUAUAAGAACUGCACAUAAGUAUAGUAGAUAAUCGUAAUGGAACAUAUGAAUAAUAUAAAGCCUAAUAGAACAAUCUUCUUGUUCCAUAAAGUUCUUGAAAUACUCUAACCAAAAAAACAAGGUUUAACGGGAGUGAUGACUCCCUGAAAGGAAAGGCUAUCUCUGGGGUCGUCUGCAAAUCUUUCGAUGCAUCUGUAGUCGAUUAUUGCCUGCUGAUCGGAACAAUCUCGUCGUGAAUCGCAUCGGGAUAUUGGCAGUGUUCUUCAGCUACUUUUGCACCAUUGCAUUUUCUACAGACAUCCACUCGCAAAACUGCCUAGAUCUAUGUAAUGAUUACAAUUGGCAGGGUGAAUGCUUUACGCCAGGCUCAACAUCUCUCUCGCAAUUGGAUUCAAGUGAAAUGAAGUGCAUAAUACAACU
rnacentral:lncRNA from 1 species